CGCCUCUUGACACCUUAUAAGAGGUCUAGCCUGCCCAGUGACAGAUUAAACGGCCGCGGUAUCCUAACCGUGCGAAGGUAGCGUAAUCACUUGUUCUCUAAAUAAGGACUAGUAUGAAUGGCUUCACGAGGGUUAUACUGUCUCCUUUCUCCUAUCAGUGAAACUAAUCUCCCCGUGAAGAAGCGGGGAUAAAAUUAUAAGACGAGAAGACCCUAUGGAGCUUAAAACUUAAACCAUCUGCUACAAAUACUUUUAUUUCCAGAACUAAAAUUUCCCUAGCUACAUGACCUCUGUUUUAGGUUGGGGUGACCAUGGAGAAUAAUACAUCCUCCAAACUAAAUGAAUUUCAUUCUAAGCCAAGAUUAACAACUCUAAGCAUCAAUUUAUUGAUAUCCAUUGACCCAAAUAUUUUGAUCACUGAACCAAGUUACCCUAGGGAUAACAGCGCAAUCCUCUUCAAGAGCUCAUAUCGACAAGCGGGUUUACGACCUCGAUGUUGGAUCAGGACUCCCCAAGUGGUGCAGCCGCUACUAUAGGUUCGUUUGUUCAACGAUUAAAGUCCU
rnacentral:rRNA from 1 species